GAUGAACGCUGGCGGCGUGCCUAAUACAUGCAAGUCGAGCGAACAGACGAGGAGCUUGCUCCUCUGACGUUAGCGGCGGACGGGUGAGUAACACGUGGAUAACCUACCUAUAAGACUGGGAUAACUUCGGGAAACCGGAGCUAAUACCGGAUAAUAUAUUGAACCGCAUGGUUCAAUAGUGAAAGACGGUUUUGCUGUCACUUAUAGAUGGAUCCGCGCCGCCUUAGCUAGUUGGUAAGGUAACGGCUUACCAAGGCAACGAUGCGUAGCCGACCUGAGAGAGAGAAUGGCCACGAUGGAACUGAGACAGGGUCCAGACUCCUACGGGAGGAAGCAGUAGGAAAUCCUCCGCAAUGGGCCAAAGCCUGACGGAGAAACGCCGAGUGAGUGAUGAAGAUCUACGGAUCGUAAAACACUGUUAUUAGGGAAGAACAAAUGUGUAAGUAACUAUGCACGUCUUGACGGUACCUAAUCAGAAAGCCACGGCUAACUACGUG
rnacentral:rRNA from 1 species